UGGGGAAUAUUGCACAAUGGGCGCAAGCCUGAUGCAGCCAUGCCGCGCGUAUGAAGAAGGCCUUCGGGUUGUAAAGUACUUUCAGCGAGGAGGAAGGCGGUAAGGUUAAUAACCUUAUCGAUUGACGUUACUCGCAGAAGAAGCACCGGCUAACUCCGUGCCAGCAGCCGCGGUAAUACGGAGGGUGCAAGCGUUAAUCGGAAUUACUGGGCGUAAAGCGCACGCAGGCGGUCUGUCAAGUCGGAUGUGAAAUCCCCGGGCUCAACCUGGGAACUGCAUUCGAAACUGGCAGGCUAGAGUCUUGUAGAGGGGGGUAGAAUUCCAGGUGUAGCGGUGAAAUGCGUAGAGAUCUGGAGGAAUACCGGUGGCGAAGGCGGCCCCCUGGACAAAGACUGACGCUCAGGUGCGAAAGCGUGGGGAGCAAACA
rnacentral:rRNA from 1 species